AUUGAACGCUGGCGGAAUGCUUUACACAUGCAAGUCGAACGGCAGCACGGACUUCGGUCUGGUGGCGAGUGGCGAACGGGCGAGUAACAUAUCGGAACGUAUCCAAUAAUGGGGGAUAACGAGUCGAGAGAUUCGCUAAUACCGCAUACGCCCUACGGGGGAAAGCUGGGGACCUUCGGGCCUGGCGUUAAUGGAGCGGCCGAUAUCUGAUUAGCUAGUUGGUGAGGUAAAGGCUCACCAAGGCGACGAUCAGUAGCUGGUCUGAGAGGACGACCAGCCACACUGGAACUGAGACACGGUCCAGACUCCUACGGGAGGCAGCAGUGGGGAAUUUUGGACAAUGGGCGCGAGCCUGAUCCAGCCAUUCCGCGUGAGUGAAGAAGGCCUUCGGGUUGUAAAGCUCUUUCGCAAGGGAAGAAAACUUAGCCACUAACAUUGGUUGAGGUUGACGGUACCUUGAUAAGAAGCACCGGCUAACUACGUGCCAGCCACCGCGGUAA
rnacentral:rRNA from 1 species